rnacentral:rRNA from 1 species
UACGUAGGGUGCGAGCGUUAAUCGGAAUUACUGGGCGUAAAGCGUGCGCAGGCGGUUUUGUAAGACAGGCGUGAAAUCCCCGGGCUCAACCUGGGAAUGGCGCUUGUGACUGCAAGCUAGAGUGCGGCAGAGGGGGAUGGAAUUCCGCGUGUAGCAGUGAAAUGCGUAGAUAUGCGGAGGAACACCGAUGGCGAAGGCAAUCCCCUGGGCCUGCACUGACGCUCAUGCACGAAAGCGUGGGAGCAAACAGG